rnacentral:rRNA from 1 species
CCUCGGAUCAGGUGGGGAUACCCGCUGAACUUAAGCAUAUCAAUAAGCGGAGGAAGAGAAACCAACCGGGAUUGCCCUAGUAACGGCGAGUGAAGCGGCAACAGCUCAAAUUUGAAAUCUGGCGCCUUCGGUGCCCGAGUUGUAAUUUGUAGAGGGUAGCUCGAGCCCGCCCCCGUCUAAGUCCCCUGGAACGGGGCGUCGUAGAGGGUGAGAAUCCCGUAUGCGACGGGGUGGCGUGCUCGUGUGAGCUCCCUUCGACGAGUCGAGUUGUUUGGGAAUGCAGCUCUAAAUGGGAGGUAAAUUCCUUCUAAAGCUAAAUACCGGCCAGAGACCGAUAGCGCACAAGUAGAGUGAUCGAAAGAUGAAAAGCACUUUGGAAAGAGAGUUAAAAAGCACGUGAAAUUGUUGAAAGGGAAGCGCUCACGACCAGACUCGGGUGCGGCUGCUCAGCCGGUCUUCUGACCGGUGCAUCGGUUGUACCCGGGCCAGCAUCGGUUCGGGCGGUCGGAUAAAGGCCUCGGGAACGUAGCUCCUCUCGGGGAGUGUUAUAGCCCGGGGCGCAAUGCGGCCUGCCCGGACCGAGGAACGCGUUCGCUAGGAUGCUGGCGUAAUGGUCGUUAGCGGCCCGUCUUGAAACACGGACCAAGGAGUCUACCAUCUGUGCGAGUAUUAGGGUGUCAAACCCUUGUGCGUAAUGAAAGUGAACGGAGGUGGGAACCCUUUGGGUGCACCAUCGACCGAUCCAGAUGUCCUCGGACGGAUUUGAGUAAGAGCACCGCUGGUGGGACCCGAAAGAUGGUGAACUAUGCGCGGAUAGGGUGAAGCCAGAGGAAACUCUGGUGGAGGCUCGCAGCGGUUCUGACGUGCAAAUCGAUCGUCAAAUCUACGCAUAGGGGCGAAAGACUAAUCGAACCAUCUAGUAGCUGGUUCCUGCCGAAGUUUCCCUCAGGAUAGCAGUCACGUCUUCAGUUUUAUGAGGUAGAGCGAAUGAUUAGAGGCCUUGGGGUUGAAACAACCUUAACCUAUUCUCAAACUUCGAAUAUGUAAGAAGCCCUUGUUACUUGAUUGAACGUGGGCAUUCGAAUGUACCGUGACUAGUGGGCCAUUUUUGGUAAGCAGAACUGGCGAUGCGGGAUGAACCGAACGCGAGGUUAAGGUGCCGGAAUACACGCUUAUCAGAUACCACAAAAGGUGUUAGUUCAUCUAG